AUUGAACGCUGGCGGCAGGCCUAACACAUGCAAGUCGAGCGAGCGGCGGACGGGUGAGUAAUGCCUGGGAAUUGCCCAGUCGAGGGGGAUAACAGUUGGAAACGACUGCUAAUACCGCAUACGUGUGGAUUGCCUAGGGGGGAUUCGUUAUUUGGUGGGGUAAUGGGGCACCAAGGCGACGAUCCCUAGCUGGUCUGGGAGGAUGGUCAGGCACACUGGAACUGAGACACGGUCCAGACUCCUACGGGAGGCAGCAGUGGGGAAUAUUGCACAAUGGGGGAAACCCUGAUGAAGCCAUGCCGCGUGUGUGAAGAAGGCGUUCGGGUUGUAAAGCACUUUCAGCGAGGAGGCGUUACGCGCAGAAGAAGCACCGGCUAACUCCGUGCCAGCAGCCGCGGUAAUUC
rnacentral:rRNA from 1 species